UACGUAGGGUGCAAGCGUUGUCCGGAAUUAUUGGGCGUAAAGAGCUCGUAGGCGGCUCGUCGCGUCGGCUGUGAAAUCCCGAGGCUCAACCUCGGGUCUGCAGUCGAUACGGGCGGACUGGAGUUCGGCAGGGGAGACUGGAAUUCCUGGUGUAGCGGUGAAAUGCGUAGAUAUCGGAAGGAACAUCAGUGGCGAAAGCGACUUCCUGGACCAAUAUUGACGCUCAUGUGCGAAAGCGUGGGGAGCAAACAGGG
rnacentral:rRNA from 1 species